ACGAACGCUGGCGGCAUGCCUAACACAUGCAAGUCGAACGAGAAAGUUCCUUCGGGAGCGAUUAAAGUGGCGCACGGGUGAGUAACGCGUAGACAAUCUGCCCUUCAGUCUGGGACAACUUUUCGAAAGGAGAGCUAAUACCGGAUAACAAUGCAUUACAUAAGUAGCGUAUUUGAAAGCUUUAUGUGCUGAAGGAGGGGUCUGCGUCCCAUUAGCUAGUUGGUAAGGUAAAGGCUUACCAAGGCAACGAUGGGUAGCGGGUUUGAGAGGACGAUCCGCCACACUGGAACUGAGACACGGUCCAGACUCCUACGGGAGGCAGCAGUGGGGAAUAUUGCACAAUGGAGGAAACUCUGAUGCAGCAAUGUCGCGUGAGUGAAGAAGGCCCUUGGGUCGUAAAGCUCUUUUAUGGGGGAAGAUGAUGACGGUACCCCAAGAAUAAGCACCGGCUAACUACGUGCCAGCAGCCGCGGUAAUACGUAGGGUGCGAGCGUUGUUCGGAAUUACUGGGCGUAAAGGGCGCGCAGGCGGAAUAGCAAGUCGGAGGUGAAAGCCCGGGGCUCAACCCCGGAGGGUCUUUCGAAACUGCUAAUCUAGAGAGGGUCAGGGGCCAGCAGAAUUCUUGGUGUAGAGGUGAAAUUCGUAGAUAUCAAGAGGAAUACCGGUGGCGAAAGCGGCUGGCUGGGGCCACUCUGACGCUGAGGCGCGAAAGCGUGGGGAGCAAACAGGAUUAGAUACCCUGGUAGUCCACGCCGUAAACGAUGAGCACUGGAUGUCCGGAGGGUUCGACCCUUCUGGGUAUCUCAGCUAACGCAUUAAGUGCUCCGCCUGGGGAGUACGGUCGCAAGACUAAAACUCAAAGGAAUUGACGGGGGCCCGCACAAGCGGUGGAACAUGUGGUUUAAUUCGAAGCAACGCGAAGAACCUUACCUAGCUUUGACAUGUCAGUGAAAAUUCGGUGAAAGCCGAACCCUCCAAGAGCUUGCUCGAGGACACUGUCACAGGUGGUGCAUGGCCGUCGUCAGCUCGUGUCGUGAGAUGUUGGGUUAAGUCCCGCAACGAGCGCAACCCCUAUCGAUAUUUGCCAUCAGGUUAAGCUGGGCACUUUAGGGGGACUGCCGGUGACAAGCCGGAGGAAGGUGGGGAUGACGUCAAGUCCUCAUGGCCUUUAUGACCAGGGCUACACACGUGUUACAAUGGGAGAUACAGAGGGAAGCUAAACCGCGAGGUCAUGCCAAUCCCAGAAAAUCUUUCUCAGUUCGGAUCGCAGUCUGCAACUCGACUGCGUGAAGCUGGAAUCGCUAGUAAUCGCGGAUCAGCACGCCGCGGUGAAUACGUUCCCGGGCCUUGUACACACCGCCCCGUCAAGGCGA
rnacentral:rRNA from 1 species